rnacentral:rRNA from 1 species
GCCCUACGGGACGCAGCAGUGAGGAAUAUUGGUCAAUGGCCGGAAGGCUGAACCAGCCAAGCCGCGUGAAGGACGAAGGUGCCAAGCAUUGUAAACUUCUUUUGUCAAGGGACAAAAUCAGGCUCGAGAGCCUGACCGAGGGUACCCGAAGAAAAAGCAUCGGCUAACUCCGUGCCAGCAGCCGCGGUAAUACGGAGGAUGCGAGCGUUAUCCGGAUUUAUUGGGUUUAAAGGGUGCGCAGGCGGCGUGUCAAGCAAGCGGUAAAAUAGCGGGGCUCAACCCCGUCGAGCCGUUUGAACUGGCGC